AUUGAACGCUGGCGGUAUGCUUAAGACAUGCAAGUCGAACGGUAACAGACCUUCGGGUGCUGACGAGUGGCGGACGGGUGAGUAACACGUGGGAAUCUACCUUGUAGUGGGGGAGUAAGCCAGGGAAACUUGGACUAAUACCGCAUACGCCCUAACGGGGAAAGGGAGCAAUUCGCUAUAAGAUGAGCCCGCGUCUGAUUAGCUAGUUGGUGAGGUAAAGGCUCACCAAGGCGACGAUCAGUAGCUGGUCUGAGAGGAUGGCCAGCCACAUUGGGACUGAGACACGGCCCACGACUCCUACGGGAGGCAGCAGUCGGGAAUAUUGGACAAUGGGGGCGAACCCUCGAUCCAGCAAUACCGCGUGUGUGAAGAAGGCCUGCGGGUUGUAAAGCACUUUUAGUAGGGAAGAUAAUGACGUUA
rnacentral:rRNA from 1 species